rnacentral:rRNA from 1 species
AGAGUUUGAUCAUGGCUCAGAUUGAACGCUGGCGGCAGGCCUAACACAUGCAAGUCGAGCGGUAGCACAGAGAGCUUGCUCUCGGGUGACGAGCGGCGGACGGGUGAGUAAUGUCUGGGAAACUGCCUGAUGGAGGGGGAUAACUACUGGAAACGGUAGCUAAUACCGCAUAACGUCGCAAGACCAAAGUGGGGGACCUUCGGGCCUCAUGCCAUCAGAUGUGCCCAGAUGGGAUUAGCUAGUAGGUGGGGUAACGGCUCACCUAGGCGACGAUCCCUAGCUGGUCUGAGAGGAUGACCAGCCACACUGGAACUGAGACACGGUCCAGACUCCUACGGGAGGCAGCAGUGGGGAAUAUUGCACAAUGGGCGCAAGCCUGAUGCAGCCAUGCCGCGUGUGUGAAGAAGGCCUUCGGGUUGUAAAGCACUUUCAGCGGGGAGGAAGGCGNNNNNNNNNNNNNNNNNNNNNNNNCGAUUGACGUUACCCGCAGAAGAAGCACCGGCUAACUCCGUGCCAGCAGCCGCGGUAAUACGGAGGGUGCAAGCGUUAAUCGGAAUUACUGGGCGUAAAGCGCACGCAGGCGGUCUGUCAAGUCGGAUGUGAAAUCCCCGGGCUCAACCUGGGAACUGCAUUCGAAACUGGCAGGCUAGAGUCUUGUAGAGGGGGGUAGAAUUCCAGGUGUAGCGGUGAAAUGCGUAGAGAUCUGGAGGAAUACCGGUGGCGAAGGCGGCCCCCUGGACAAAGACUGACGCUCAGGUGCGAAAGCGUGGGGAGCAAACAGGAUUAGAUACCCUGGUAGUCCACGCCGUAAACGAUGUCGAUUUGGAGGUUGUGCCCUUGAGGCGUGGCUUCCGGAGCUAACGCGUUAAAUCGACCGCCUGGGGAGUACGGCCGCAAGGUUAAAACUCAAAUGAAUUGACGGGGGCCCGCACAAGCGGUGGAGCAUGUGGUUUAAUUCGAUGCAACGCGAAGAACCUUACCUGGUCUUGACAUCCACAGAACUUUCCAGAGAUGGAUUGGUGCCUUCGGGAACUGUGAGACAGGUGCUGCAUGGCUGUCGUCAGCUCGUGUUGUGAAAUGUUGGGUUAAGUCCCGCAACGAGCGCAACCCUUAUCCUUUGUUGCCAGCGGUCCGGCCGGGAACUCAAAGGAGACUGCCAGUGAUAAACUGGAGGAAGGUGGGGAUGACGUCAAGUCAUCAUGGCCCUUACGACCAGGGCUACACACGUGCUACAAUGGCAUAUACAAAGAGAAGCGACCUCGCGAGAGCAAGCGGACCUCAUAAAGUAUGUCGUAGUCCGGAUUGGAGUCUGCAACUCGACUCCAUGAAGUCGGAAUCGCUAGUAAUCGUAGAUCAGAAUGCUACGGUGAAUACGUUCCCGGGCCUUGUACACACCGCCCGUCACACCAUGGGAGUGGGUUGCAAAAGAAGUAGGUAGCUUAACCUUCGGGAGGGCGCUUACCACUUUGUGAUUCAUGACUGGGGUGAAGUCGUAACAAGGUAACCGUAGGGGAACCUGCGGUUGGAUCACCU